ensembl:lncRNA
GGGAACUGUUAGGUGUGGGCCUGAAGCAGUGAUGGAGCACCUGGUGGGAGUGUGGACAGCCCAGGGAGCACAGGUGGAAGCAAUUCUUCUGUGGAGUGAGAUGGGGUGGAGCCAGGCUGCAUCCCCCUCUGAGCUCAUGGAAGGGCUGGCAGUCACAGGGGAAGGAUCUGUGCCUGGAUGCUGCCAUUUGUGUUGUGUUGGGCGAGUCCUGAGCCUUGGGAAGGGUUGAGGAGUUGUUUGUUUGCUCAUUCAUGAUUGUCUCUGUGUGUUUUUGUUCGGGAGGUGGUUGCAGAUGCCAGGAGUUUUCCUGAGUGGUGCAAGGACUCUACUGAGGAUCUUAGUGGACCCAGCGAGGAACCAAAGCAAAGGAUGGACCCCAAUAUCCUUGCUGCAUGACGGCAGGCAAGCUCUAUUGCUCCCAGAGAGUGUUGUUGCUAUUCGGGCCGUUCAGUAUGAUUGGUAUCAGCUUGUUGGUCCAGCUUGACCAACACUCACCACGUCUGUCCCUGCACCAGCUGCCUUUAGGUGUCGAUCAAGUGGCAGUGGAGAGUUGUGACCCUCCCAAAGGGUGCAAGGACUCUACUGAGGCUCUUGGUGGACACAGCAGGAACCCACAGCCAGAGAUGGAUGCCAAGAUCUGCUUAUUCCUCUGUCUGGCAAGCUCUGCUGACCCCGGAGGCCGUUCCCACGCUUGCAGAGGUCCUAUGGGCUUGGUGUUGGUUUUCCCUUGUGCUCACUGGGCUUUCCAAGCCUGUUCUCCUUACUUGACACCACCUCUCCCACCUUCUAUUUCCAAGCAGGAGCUCCCCUUAGCCUCCGUGUCUCGCUCUGGCCAGGCAGAUGUGGCGUGCCAUCGGAUCAAAGCUUUCAGAAUCCAACCAAAAGAAAUGGGGAGAGAGGCUGCCCUGGGUGAGACAGGAGAAGUGUCCCUUGAAGCGGGGGACGUCCCGCUGGUGCUGCCUCUCGCAUCCACCGGCAGCACAUUCCUUCUCUCUCCUUGCCGCCCGGCACUUUGCCGUCUCCCAGGACUCACCAAGUCCAAAUGUCCCCUGAUUGAAUGCAACUCCAGCUUGACCAACACUCACCCUGUCUGUCCCCGCACCAGCUGGCUUAAGGCUCCCCAGCACUGCUGGUUGUCGGUGCCUUCUGUUGCUCCCUGUCAACAUGAUGUUGUUCUUGGCUUUUUAGGUUCAGUAACGUGUCGGCUUGUUAUGCAGUGUUACUCUUCUCUGUUUUCCUGUGUUUCAUGUUGCCAGUGAA